GGCCAUAUUACAUUGAAACACCAGUUGCCAUAUGAUCACCAAAGUUAAGCAACAUUGAGCCUGGUCAGUACCAAGAUGGGUGUCCUCAUGGGAAUACCAGGUGCUGUAAG